GAUGAACGCUGGCGGCGUGCCUAAUACAUGCAAGUCGAGCGAACAGACGAGGAGCUUGCUCCUCUGACGUUAGCGGCGGACGGGUGAGUAACACGUGGAUAACCUACCUAUAAGACUGGGAUAACUUCGGGAAACCGGAGCUAAUACCGGAUAAUAUAUUGAACCGCAUGGUUCAAUAGUGAAAGACGGUUUUGCUGUCACUUAUAGAUGGAUCCGCGCCGCAUUAGCUAGUUGGUAAGGUAACGGCUUACCAAGGCAACGAUGCGUAGCCGACCUGAGAGGGUGAUCGGCCACACUGUAGCUGAGACACGGUCCAGACUCCGACGGGAGGCAGCAGUAGGGAAUCUUCCGGAAUGGUCGAAAGCUUGACGGAGCAACGCCGCGUGAGUGAUGAAGGUCUUCGGAUCGUAAAACUCUGUUAUGAGGGAAGAACAAAUGUGUAAGUAACUAUGCACGUCUUGACGGUACCUAAUCAGAAAGCCACGGCUAACUACGUG
rnacentral:rRNA from 1 species